UGUGAAAUAGAGAUUCAGUGCCCCAUCCCUCCUGCUUAGAUCAUGAAUCUCACCUGGGGCAGAUGCUCUGUCCCGUUGGAUGAUCGUAUAUCCACCCCCGCAAUUAAUAUCGUGGUAGCAAGUGCUUAACCAAUACCACGGUUAUAAUUAUGUCUAAGCAGGGAAAGGAAAGCAUGUGUGAAAACGGAACUCACGGGACUUUCCACAGAUAGAACUGUCAACAUUUUCAGACCCUAUCCCUAUUCGUUCCUUGGGGUAACUCCAUAACUCACCCAAUUUCACUGAUUCAGCUCGCUGUCUUCUUGCUUCUCACUGAUUUAGGAGUGCAUGCAGUUCUUCCCAGGAGUGGUUCAGAUUAACGUUCCCUCCUCACUCGCGGCUUAUUACAAAGCCCAUCAGUGCCCCCCAACUCAGUUUUAAUAGUUUCUUCGCUGAUUUAAUAUCUCGGGCACCAAUUUGCUACCGGUCAUUUGGCAAGCGUUUUCAUAUGAGAAAAGCUGCAAUUUCAAUCCCCGUGUCAACCCGUGAUGACCACUGCUGAUGGACAGAGUGACCCGGGCACCCUUUGUUUGGGGGAUGCACCCAACCAAGACGGAGGAUUUGCGGCCUCCGAGGAGCUAACAGCGGAUCUGAUCAACCUCAUCAGGGAACAGGUUUCCAGUCGGACACCACUUAAAAAAGCGUCACCAUCAUCAACCAGAUGUACUGGAUUUCCAGCUAGAAAUUUAGACAGAAUCCCUUCCCCUGAGCAUGCGGGAAGAAUGAAAUGGAAAAAAAAAACCACCUCUCGCUAAUUCUGUUAACGGCGCUGUUAAAGCAAUUUAGCAGAAACUCCUUGUGGUUAUGGGGGUCUCUGAGUCAGCUUCAGCACCCUCUUCUCUGGGAAAAACACGGAAGGAAAAUAGAGCUGAGAAGAUCUCGGGAGCCUCAGCUAUGGAUGUGGCCAAUUUCUUCAACCUCAUAUGGGUUUCAGCCAGGCCUGGUGGAGAAGCUCCAGUAACGAUCGACUUCCAUCGGAGCGACGCUCCAGGCUCCUCCGCCAGGCACCCGGAGGAGGUCUUAGUGAUGCUGUUCAGUGCGUCGUCCUGGCCUUGAGGACCAUCUCCUUGCAGUGUGGGCCCAGUCGAUUCCUCGGACCUGCCUUACCACUGAGAGAUCGAACUGUGGACCUUGUUGACACCGCAAAGGGAAGGAUUUUUUUUUUGUGUGUGUGUAUGAAUAAUGGGGUUAGCUUUUGAGGAGGGAUAGUGAGGAGAAGGCUGCCACUCUCCGUAUGGAGGCGGGGUCUGAAAACUGGGCCUGGGGCUCUGUGCAGGGAACUAGUUCUGUCUGGACUUGACUGUGGGAUGGAGAAAACUCCGGGCCCUUAAUGGUGGGUCGAACCUCCCUACACCCGCACUGUUUAUAUCUCCUUUCAUUUCCUUCUCAACUCACAGGAGCACCAUCAAAUGACUUAUGCCACGGAGCACUGUUGGAGAGAAUCCAGGCACAAGGUCCACCUCAGUGAUCCCAAAGCAGAUGAUGGAACUGAAGCCCAGAGAAGUGAAGUGACUUGCCC